rnacentral:rRNA from 1 species
UACGUAGGGAGCAAGCGUUGUCCGGAAUCAUUGGGCGUAAAGCGCGCGUAGGCGGCCUCGUAAGUCCGUUGUGAAAGUCAAAGGCUCAACCUUUGAAAGCCGAUGGAUACUGUGAGGCUAGAGUCCGGAAGAGGCGAGUGGAAUUCCUGGUGUAGCGGUGAAAUGCGCAGAUGUCAGGAGGAACACCGAUGGCGAAGGCAGUGUUCUGGGCCAGUACUGACGCUGAGGAGCGAAAGCGUGGGGAGCAAACAGG